CCUACGGGUGGCAGCAGUGGGGAAUAUUGCACAAUGGGGGAAACCCUGAUGCAGCGACGCCGCGUGAGUGAGGAAGGAUCUCGGUAUGUAAAGCUCUAUCUGCCGGGAAGCAGCAAGACGGUACCUGACUAAGAAGCCCCGGCUACCUACGUGCCAGCAGCCGCGAUAAUACGGAGGGGGCAAGCGUUAUCCGGAUUUACUGGGUGUAAAGGGAGCGUAGACGGUAUGGCAAGUCUGAAGUUAAAGCCCAGGGCCUAACCCCGGGACUGCGUUGGAAACCGGUAGACUAGAGUGCUGGAGAGGUAAGUGGAAUGCGUAGUGUAGCGGUGAAAUGCAUAGAUAUUAGGCAGAACACCAGUGGCGAAGGCAGCUUACUGGACGGUAACUGACGUUGAGGCACGAAAGCGUGGGUAGCAAACAGGAUUAGAUACCCGUGUAGUC
rnacentral:rRNA from 1 species